rnacentral:rRNA from 1 species
GCGGCGGACGGGUGAGUAACACGUGGAUAACCUACCUAUAAGACUGGGAUAACUUCGGGAAACCGGAGCUAAUACCGGAUAAUAUUUUGAACCGCAUGGUUCAAAAGUGAAAGACGGUCUUGCUGUCACUUAUAGAUGGAUCCGCGCUGCAUUAGCUAGUUGGUAAGGUAACGGCUUACCAAGGCAACGAUGCAUAGCCGACCUGAGAGGGUGAUCGGCCACACUGGAACUGAGACACGGUCCAGACUCCUACGGGAGGCAGCAGUAGGGAAUCUUCCGCAAUGGGCGAAAGCCUGACGGAGCAACGCCGCGUGAGUGAUGAAGGUCUUCGGAUCGUAAAACUCUGUUAUUAGGGAAGAACAUAUGUGUAAGUAACUGUGCACAUCUUGACGGUACCUAAUCAGAAAGCCACGGCUAACUACGUGCCAGCAGCCGCGGUAAUACGUAGGUGGCAAGCGUUAUCCGGAAUUAUUGGGCGUAAAGCGCGCGUAGGCGGUUUUUUAAGUCUGAUGUGAAAGCCCACGGCUCAACCGUGGAGGGUCAUUGGAAACUGGAAAACUUGAGUGCAGAAGAGGAAAGUGGAAUUCCAUGUGUAGCGGUGAAAUGCGCAGAGAUAUGGAGGAACACCAGUGGCGAAGGCGACUUUCUGGUCUGUAACUGACGCUGAUGUGCGAAAGCGUGGGGAUCAAACAGGAUUAGAUACCCUGGUAGUCCACGCCGUAAACGAUGAGUGCUAAGUGUUAAGGGGGUUUCCGCCCCUUAGUGCUGCAGCUAACGCAUUAAGCACUCCGCCUGGGGAGUACGACCGCAAGGUUGAAACUCACAGGAAUUGACGGGGACCCGCACAAGCGGUGGAGCAUGUGGGUUUAAUUCGAAGCAACGCGAAGAACCUUACCAAAUCUUGACAUCCUUUGACAACUCUAGAGAUAGAGCCUUCCCCUUCGGGGGACAAAGUGACAGGGGGGGCAUGGUUGUCGUCAGCUCGUGUCGUGAGAUGUUGGGUUAAGUCCCGCAACGAGCGCAACCCUUAAGCUUAGUUGCCAUCAUUAA